rnacentral:misc_RNA from 1 species
AAGUCGUAACAAGGUUUCCGUAGGUGAACCUGCGGAAGGAUCAUUAAUGAAAUUAUGACUGGGGUUGUAGCUGGCCUAUAAAACGGCAUGUGCACGCUCCUUUCACAAUCCACACACACCUGUGCACCUUCGCGGGGGUCUUUUUUUCUCUUCGGGGGGAAUAAAGGCUCGCGUCCCUUUACACACCCUUUGUAUGUCUUAAGAAUGUCUACUCGAUGUAAUAAAACACAUCUAAUACAACUUUCAACAACGGAUCUCUUGGCUCUC